UACAGAGGGUGCUAGCGUUGUUCGGAAUCAUUGGGCGUAAAGGGCGUGUAGGCGGUUUGCUAAGUCAUGUGUGAAAUCCCUCGGCUUAACCGGGGAACGACGCACGAAACUGGCAAGCUAGAGUACCAAAGAGGGGGGUGGAAUUCCCGGUGUAGCGGUGAAAUGCGUAGAUAUCCGGAGGAACACCAGUGGCGAAGGCGACUUUCUGGCCUGUUCUUGACGCUGAGGCGCGAAAGCUAGGGGAGCAAACGGG
rnacentral:rRNA from 1 species